UCCAAUGUAAUUCUCCUGCAUUAUAUCAUUUUCGUAUUUUAAAUGUCAAUGUCUUGAUAAAGCAUUAUUAGCAAUAUACUAAGAGUAGGAAAUCCUUUUUACCAUUAGUUUCGGCAACAUAAUGUAACUACAUCUGUGGUUUCAUCUGUUGUUACAUCUUCUUGGAAGGCAAAAACACUUAAGAUUUUCCUUUCCCAGUUAACUUAACCACGGAUCUUCAAACAUGAUAGUAAAUUCACCUGCUCACUGCUAUACUAUUUCUUUUCUUUUUUUUUUUUAAUAGCUUUUUAUUGAUAGAAUACAUGCCAGGGCAAUUUUUUACAGCAUUAUACCUUGCAUUCACUUCUGUUCCAAUUUUUCCCCUCCCUCCCUCCACCCCUUCCCCCAGAUGGCAAGCAGUCCUUUACAUGUUGAAUGGGUUGCAGUAUAUCCUAGAUACAAUAUAUGUGUGCAGAACCGAACAGUUUUCUUGUUGCACAGGGAGAAUUGAAUUCAGAAGGUAUAAAUAACCUGGGAAGAAAAACAAAAAUGCAAGCAGUUUAUAUUCAUUUCCCAGUGUUCUUUCUCUGGGUGUCGCUGCUUCUGUCCAUCUUUGAUCAAUUAAGGCUCUCUUUAUCAAAGAGAUCCACUUCCAUCAGAAUACAUCCUCAAACAGUAUCGUUGUUGAGGUAUAUAAUGAUCUCCUGGUUCUGCUCAUUUCACUCAGCAUCAGUUCAUGUAAGUCUCGCCAGUCCUCUCUGUAUUCAUCCUGCUGGUCAUUCCUUACAGAACAAUAAUAUUUCAUAACGUUCAUAUACCACAAUUUACUCAACCAUUCUCCAAUUGAUGGACAUCCUUUCAUUUUCCAGCUUCUAGCCACUACAAACAGGGCUGCCACAAACAUUUUGGCACAUACAGGUCCCUUUCCUUUCUUUAGUAUCUCUUUGGGGUAUAAGCUGGAUCAAAGGGUAUGCACAGUUUGAUAACUUUUUGAGCACAGUUCCAAAUUGCUCUCCAGAAUGGCUGGAUGUGUUCACAAUUCCACCAACAAUGUAUCAGUGUCCCUGUUUUCCCACAUCCCCUCCAACAUUCCCCAUUAUCUUUCCCUGUCAUUCUAGCCAAUCUGACAGGUGUGUAGUGGUAUCUCAGAGUUGUCUUAAUUUGCAUUGCUCUGAUUAAUAAUGAUUUGGAGCAUAUUUUCAUAUGUCUAUAAAUAGUUUCAAUUUCUUCGUCUGAGAAUUGUCUGUUCAUAUCCUUUAACCAUUUAUCAAUUGGAGAAUGGUUUGAUUUCUUAUAGAUUAGAGUCAAUUCUCUAUAUAUUUUGGAAAUGAGGUCUUUAUCAGAACCUUUGAUUGUAAAAAUGUUUUCCCAGUUUAUUGUUUCCCUUCUAAUCUUGUUUGCAUUUGUUUUGUUUGUACAAAAACUUUUCAAUUUGAUAUAAUCAAAAUUUUUUAUGUUGUGGUCAAUAGUGAUCUCUAGUUUUUUUCUUUUUGGUCAUAAAUUUCUCCCUCUUCCACAAGUCUGCGAGGUAAACUAUCCUAUGCUCUUCCAAUUUAUUUAUCAUCUCAUUCUUUAUGCCUAGGUCAUGAACCCAUUUUGACCUUAUCUUGGUGUAUGGUGUUAAGUGUGGGUCAAUGCCUAGUUUCUGCCAUACUGAUUUCCAAUUUUCCUAGCAAUUUUUGUCAAAUAAUGCAUUCUUAUCCCAGAAAUUGGUGUCUUUGGGUUUGUCAAACACUAUAUUAUUAAAGUUAUUGGCUGUUUUGUCCUUUGAACCUAACCUAUUCCAUUGAUCAACUAGUCUAUUUCUUAGCCAAUUCCAGAUGGUUUUAGUAACUGCUGCUUUAUAAUAUAAUUUUAGAUCUGGUACAGCUAGGCCACCUUCAUUUGAUUUUUUUUUUUCAUUAAUUCCCUUGAAAUUCUUGACCUUUUGUUUUUCCAUAUGAACUGUGUUGUUAUUUUUUCUAAUUCAUCAAAGUAGUUUUUUGGGAGUCUGAUUGGUAUAGCGCUAAAUAAGUAGAUUAAUUUAGGUAGUAUUGUCAUCUUUAUUAUAUUUGCUCGCCCAAUCCAAGAGCAUUUAAUAUUUUUCCAGUUGGUUAAAUCAGACUUAAUUUGUGUGGAAAGUGUUUUGUUGUUUUGCUCAUAAAGUUUCUGAUUUUCUCUUGGCAGAUAGAUUCCUAAAUAUUUUAUACAAUCACUAGUUACUUUAAAUGGAAUUUCUUUUUGUAACUCUAACUGUUGGUUUUGUUAGUGAUAUAUAAGAAUGCUGAUGACUUACUUAUGUGGGUUUAUUUUAUAUCCUGCAACUUUGCUGAAGGUGUAGAUUGUUUCUAAUAACUUUUUGGUAGAAUCUCUGGGGUUCUCUAAGUAUACCAUCAUAUCAUCAGCAAAGAGUGAUAAUUUGGUUUCCUCAUUGCUUAUUCUUAAGGAGUACUCAUUAUUAAAGAAGUUAUUGAUAAAAAGAAAAGUCUCUAAAUAUGCCAAAAUAUUGAUAAUAGUACUUUUGUAGUAGAAAAAGCAAGAAACUAUAAAUUAGUGAAUUCAAAUCAGAGAAUGUGCAUGUAAUGAAAUAUUGGGACAACUUCUGGGUCAUGUGACCCUUUUUCUAAUUUGUAUGACCUCUCAAAUGGCUCAGGAACCGAAAAUUUGCACUUAUCUAAGAAUUAGAGGGCUUGAUGAGACCACUCAUCCUAAAUUGAAGGGGAAGGGUCAGAAGUCCUAUGGGUAAUUGGAAUCUGAGGGAACAGGAGGACAUGGAUCAAGGGAGGAAAUUCUGAGGCAAAACAGGAAGGAGAAUGAUCAGAGGCGACUAUAAGUCAGAAUUGAACUGCACAGUCAGGGACAUGGACGGAGGUUUGCGUCUCUGUCACCAGCAGAAAUUGCCUUUUUUUUCCCCCCUGAAAAUGAGGCACAGUGGAAAAAAAGGGAGCAUGUUGAGAUGGAGGUUCAGUGACAGAAACUGCUUAAAAAUAAGAAUACCGCAAAAUUUUUGAUUUUAUAAAGAAUGCAGUGAAUAGAAAGGGAUUAAAUUUUAGGGGCCAUAUCCAGAGAAUAAAAGAAGGCUGGAUAGUGAAGAGAGGAAGGGAGAAAAAUCCUCUUUGGAAAGCAUCUAAAAAAAUUAAAAUUUAAAAACUAAUGAAGAGAACUAGUUUAAGGGAAACAGAGAAAGGGAGAAUUUCCUUAGCUAAUUUAGAAAGGGGAAAAAAUGGGGAAGAAUUAUCUGGAAAAAGGAACUAAUAAGCAAAACUCAAAAGGAAAAGGGGUGAGAAAUGGGAGAGGGAAUCAGAAAAAAAAUCAAUAAAAAUAGGAUUUCCUUUUAAAAAGAUUAAGCUACAAGGACUGAAGAGAUGUGUUUACAGCAGGAGGAGGAAAAAAAUCA